rnacentral:lncRNA from 1 species
AGUCCCAGGGUGAAGGGAGGCAGCUUCAGUCCUGGGGCCAAUAGCACAUCCGAGGAAAUCAGGGCCCCUGGAACACAGCCUGCGGGACUGGGGGCACAUCUGCUGCCCAAUCCAGAGCUUGAAUGCUCCUGGUGAGAAAGGAUAACAAACAGCACUUCCCCAUGGCAGAUGCUUCACAGUCCAAGACUCGGGGCCUUGAAUGAUCCAGGAAGGCCACUGAGAUUUCCACUUUAUCUACUGUUUCUUGUGCACGUACUUAACCAUAAAUCAAAACAGCCUCUGUGUUAUCAUCCUUCAAUGUUCAACACAUCGCAUCGGAGUCGCCCUUUCCCUACAGAAUAUAAGCUCUGGGUCUGGGGGCUAAUAGUGUGGGGAUCCACCAUCUUGUCUUGCCCCCACCUGAGACACAGAUGUGGCUUCUAUUCGUAUGUCCCUAUUAAAUGCUUUUCUCUGAGAA